AUAGGUGCGUUGAAGGAAAAUAGUAACAAAAAGCUCUAUUUUUAGCGAGUUCGGGUUUGGUGGGAGCCGAAUAUUUAACUUUUUGUGAAGGCGUUCUGGAGUACAGCGAAAUCAAGGUGGGAAUUGUUUAAUUCCAAAUAGGGUGGAACCGCGAGCUAACUCUCGUCCCUAUA
rfam:Listeria monocytogenes EGD-e, complete genome